rnacentral:rRNA from 1 species
UACGUAGGGGGCUAGCGUUGUCCGGAAUCAUUGGGCGUAAAGCGCGUGUAGGCGGUCCGGUAAGUCCGCUGUGAAAGUCGGGGGCUCAACCCUGGGAUGCCGGUGGAUACUGUCGAACUAGAGUACGGAAGAGGCGAGUGGAAUUCCCGGUGUAGCGGUGAAAUGCGCAGAUAUCGGGAGGAACACCGAUGGCGAAGGCAGGUCUCUGGGCCGCAACUGACGCUGAGGAGCGAAAGCGUGGGGAGCGAUCCGG